GGGGAAUAUUGGACAAUGGGGGCAACCCUGAUCCAGCAAUGCCGCGUGUGUGAAGAAGGCCUUCGGGUUGUAAAGCACUUUUAUCGGGAACGAAACAUUGUCGGCCAAUACCCGGCAAGACUGACGGUACCCGAGGAAUAAGCACCGGCUAACUCCGUGCCAGCAGCCGCGGUAAUACGGAGGGUGCAAGCGUUAAUCGGAAUUACUGGGCGUAAAGCGUGCGCAGGCGGUUUGUUAAGUCUGCUGUGAAAUCCCCGAGCUCAACUUGGGAAUUGCAGUGGAUACUGGCAAGCUGGAGUACGGUAGAGGAAGGUGGAAUUCCCGGUGUAGCAGUGAAAUGCGUAGAGAUCGGGAGGAACACCAGUGGCGGAGGCGGCCUUCUGGACCAGUACUGACGCUCAUGCACGAAAGCGUGGGGAGCAAACA
rnacentral:rRNA from 1 species